rnacentral:misc_RNA from 1 species
GUAGGUGAACCUGCGGAAGGAUCAUUAACACUAUUAAAAAAAUACGAGCAUUAUGGGUGUGUUUUCUUUUUCACGAAAGAGAAUUGCCUUUUUGCUCUUAUCCAAUUUACCCAAACUAUUUGAAAGUGCUUGUUGAUUUUUUUUAUUCUUCUUUGUUUUCGAACAAAAGAAAAAAAAAAAUCACUUUUUUUUAUUUUUUUAUAUACAAAACAACCCCAAAUCUUUCUUUGCUAAUGCAAAUGACAAUUACUAAAAACAAAAAUAACUACUUUAACGUAACCAAACAACUCUUAGCAACGGAUAUCUUGGCUCUC